rnacentral:rRNA from 1 species
UACGGAGGGGGCUAGCGUUGUUCGGAAUUACUGGGCGUAAAGCGCACGUAGGCGGCUUUGUAAGUUAGAGGUGAAAGCCCGGAGCUUAACUCCGGAACUGCCUUUAAGACUGCAUCGCUCGAAUCAUGGAGAGGUCAGUGGAAUUCCGAGUGUAGAGGUGAAAUUCGUAGAUAUUCGGAAGAACACCAGUGGCGAAGGCGGCUCACUGGACUGGUAUUGACGCUGAGGUGCGAAAGCGUGGGGAGCAAACAGG